UUCUAUCUUCGGGGCAGGGUGUGAUUCCCGACCGACGGUGUUGAACAGAUAUUGUUCUGAGUCCGUGACCCGCAAUGCAUAUGCAUUGCGGCUGACCUGGUGGAAAUCCGGGACCGACAGUUAAAGUCUGGAUGGGAGAAGAUUAUA
rnacentral:ncRNA from 2 species